UGCCGGUGUGCGGCACCACGUGCCUUUCACGGCCUUUCGCCGAGAUAAACUCUCCCAGUCCCAAGCCGUCCGUUCCCCUCUGGAGGCGAAACCGAAGCGAUCGCGCCGCUCUCUUUCCGCCUUCCAAUCUCGUCGAGGAGGACCGCUGGAGCUCGUUAUAGCUGGCUCAACGCUCUUAAUACGAGCUGUCCAUCAUGUUUAAAAAGCCAGUUGAGGCAAAAUCAUUGCAACGCUUGUCAGGAACAGACAAGAAGAAGCUUAGGAGAAUUACAAAGGAAAGGUUCCCACAAGCCUCAGAUGCUGACAUCGAUGCUAUUCUUCCUCCCAAGGCUGAGAUAACAGUAGCUAAGUACCCAAAUCGCGUGCAUGUGUAUGGUGUAGAAGGAGGCUUCCCAACGCUUUUUGAUAUUGAUGGGCGAGGCACGGAGAUAUUUCCCACAGUUUAUACGCUCUGGAAGGUUCCUGAACUAUUACCUGCAUUUCUGCUUAAGGGGGGUGAGGUAUCUCGCUAUGUCAUUGGAGGUGCUGAUUUGAUGUUCCCUGGUAUUAGCGUACCUCCAGAAGGGCUGCCUCCAUUCCUAGCUGGGCAGCCAUGGGCAGUGAAAGUUCCAGGCAAUCCAGCACCAAUUGCAGUUGGAACCACCACUAUGAGUAGUGCGGAAGCCUUCAAAGCUGGUUUGCGUGGCAAGGCUUUGCGAAUAACGCAUUGUUAUCAUGAUUCGCUGUGGGAAUCAGUUGAAGGUCAUUUCGUUCCAAAUGCAGGAUUUUUGGAAGACAUUGUCGUCGAAGAUCCUGCAUUAUCUUUGGUUUCUCAGUAUUCUGACACUUCUGGAGAUGCUUCAAGCAGUCUACAUGAUGGUGAAGCUGUAGAAAAAGGAGAACCAGAUUCAGAUACCCAUACUGAAAGACAUGUCAAUACUUCACAAGAUGUUGAUGUUAGCAAUGAAACCUCCGAAGAAGUGGUUGCUGCUGAUAUGAGUGGGUUAAGGGUGUCGCACAAUGCACCUGCUGAAGAGCCAAACAAUGAGAAGGAACCACAGACUCUAUCCAGCGAAGUAGAUAUUCUUUUGGACACAUGCCUUCUGCAAGCAUUGCACACAAGUGUAAAAGAUAAGGACCUUCCUAUGCCUGGUAGCACAUUAUGGUCAAAUCAUAUACUGCCCUGCAGGCCUCCAGGCAUCACUCUGGACAUCAAAAAAUCAUCUCAUAAAAAACUCUCGAAGUGGCUACAAUCUAAAUCUUCUGCUGGGCUGAUAUCAGCAAAGGAGGAUAAAUAUAAGAAAGAGGUCAUGUUACUUGCUAUCAACCGUGCUCAUGCAGACUAUAUGUCCUUCAAACCAGAGAAGCGAGUAGUAGAGACUGCUGAUCAGAGGCAUGAUUGUGCAGUAGGUGAAGGUCGGCAGGCUAAACAGCAACUUGAGUUAGCUGAGAUUUAUAAGCCUGCCACACAUGUCAAUCCCAUAUUCACAUCACUUGGUUUUGAUACCGGGAAAUAUUACAGUGCGUCAGAGGCAUCUGAUGUCGUCUUCAGUUACGUAGAGAAAGAAAAUUUGGUUAAGCAAACAGAUAAGGCAAUGGUAGUCCUGGAUGCUGCGCUAUGUGAUGCUCUCUUCAAAGGUACCAUCAAGAAGGGCUCAACUUACCCUACAGAGAUCCAUAAGAAAGAUUUAGGAGCUACAUUUCUAAACCGCAUGCAAGUCCACCACAGGGUGUCAAGAGGAAAUGAGGUUGCUGUACGCAAGGGGGCAAUUAGACCCAUUCAGAUUAUGACCGAACGACGGCAGGGAAACAAGAAGGUGACAAGAGUCUCUGGGCUGGAGUCUUUCUUAAUGGAUGCGGACUCAUUAGCAUCCGAGCUUCAAAGAAAAUUUGCUUGCAGUACAUCAGUGGCAGAGCUUCCAGGUAAGAAAGGGCAACAUGAGGUGCUGGUUCAAGGUGGGGUGAUGGAUGACCUUGCAAAACAUCUUGUUGACCAGUAUGGCAUACCAAAGAGGUACAUUGAGGUUCUCGACAAAACCAGGAAAUGAGAGGCCGGAAUCCUAGUGUUAAACUAAAUAUAAAUGUAGAGUCAGGAGAAGCCAGGGCUCCUUUUUUUCCAUAGUUGAGCAGUAUAGGGAGAUUCUCACCUACAAGGUGAAGAUACAAUACCUGCGUCAUCUUGAUGGAAGUUUAUGAAUGAGUGGGAUUUGUUACAGAUUGGGCGUUCAUUUCGAACUGAAAACUGGUUGGAUCUAUGACAUUGUGAUGACCUUAUGCUGAUGACCUGCAUUUACUGUUUUGAGGUCAAGCCACUAAUGUGAUCUCUGUUUGGGCAGCAUUGGCUGAUGGCAUCAGAAGGGAGCGUUUAGGGCUAACAAUGGGCUGAAAGAGGUUGUGUUUGAUGGAGAUCAGAUUGUAUGGCCAAGCUUUCGAAGUUACCUCCGGACAUGAAUAACAAAAUCUUCAUUUUGCGUAAAGUUUCUACAAACACAAUGGAGUUACAAAUUAUUAGCUUGAACUUGUGCAUUAGUCAUUGAACAGAACAGAAGAUACAUAGCCAUCAGUGAUAGCAGGUGAUUGAAUCAAUUGAACCCUCCAACAGUUCAUAA